ACGGGAAACCGGAGCUAAUACGAUAAUAUUUGACCGCAUGGUUCAAAAGUGAAAGACGGUCUUACUGUCACUUAUAGAUGGAUCCGCGCUGCAUUAGCUAGUUGGUAAGGUAACGGCUUACCAAGGCAACGAUGCAUAGCCGACCUGAGAGGGUGAUCGGCCACACUGGAACUGAGACACGGUCCAGACUCCUACGGGAGGCAGCAGGC
rnacentral:rRNA from 1 species